rnacentral:lncRNA from 1 species
CCAUGUUUUAUAUCAACAAGCAAGGCGGUACCAGGUCCCCUCCCCUAUGUCUCGAGGCGAUGCGUCUCUGGGAGUUUUGCAUAGCCCAUGCCGAUCACCUUUCCGCCUCCUAUCUCCCAGGAGUGCGGAACACUGUAGCGGACCGACUGAGCAGAUCCUUCCGCUCACACGAGUGGUCCCUCCGUCCAGACGUCGCCCUCUCACUCUUCCAGAGGUGGGGUCGUCCCCGGAUGGACCUCUUCGCGUCCAGGGAGAACAGGAAAUGUCGAGCAUUCUGCUCCUUCCAGGGUCGGGAGCCCGGGUCUAUAGCGGAUGCCUUCCUGAUCCCAUGGGCAACCCACCUGUUUUACGCGUUCCCUCCCGUUCCACUGAUACACAGGGUUCUCCUCAAGGUGCGCAGAGACAGAGCUCGGGUGAUUCUCAUAGCUCCAGCAUGGGCCAGACAACAUUGGUACCCCAUGUUGCUGGACCUCUCAGUAGCCAACCCAGUUGUCCUGCCCCUACAUCUGGACCUGAUCACCCAGGACCACGACAGGCUCUGUCACCUGGACCUUCCAUCUCUGCACCUUACGGCGUGGCUCAUGCGUGGUUGACGGGCUCCGAGUUACGCUGCUCUACCCCAGUUCGGGAGGUUCUCCUGGGCAGUAGAAAGCCCUCCACCAGGGCUACUUACUCGGCUAAGUGGAAGCGUUUCUCCUGUUGGUGUGCGGAGAAAGGUCUUCUCCCUAUGGGGACACCCGUCACCACUAUUCUAGACUACAUCUGGUCCCUUAAGGCCCAGGGUCUGGCGUUGUCGUCCCUCCGGGUCCACCUAGCGGCUAACUCCGCGUUUCAUCCUGGAGGGGACGGAUGUUCCGUCUUCUCCCACCCUAUGGUGGCGAGAUUCCUGAAGGGACUGGAGCGUCUCUAUCCACAGAUCCGCCCCCGUGCCCCUUCAUGGGAUCUCAACCUGGUCCUAGCUCGGCUCAUGGGUCCUCCGUUCGAGCCGUUAGCUACUUGCUCCCUG